AGACAGAGAGCAUGAGAGGGAGGAGGGUCAGAGGGAGAAGCAGACUCCCUGCCGAGCAGGGAGCCCGAUGCGGGACUCGAUUCCGGGACUCCAGGAUCAUGACCUGAGCCGAAGGCAGUUGCUUAACCAACUGAGCCACCCAGGCGCCCUAAAAAAAUCCAUUUUGAGUAGAUGACAUACAAAUGUGACCCAGAGGGACAUCUGAGGGAAGAGAGUUCCAGGCAGAGGGAACAGCAUGAGCAAAGGCCCUGGGGCAGGACCAGCCCAGAGUGAUGGAGGAGCAGCGAGGAUGCCCGCUUGGCUGACAGCCACCAGACUUGGAGGCCCUCCAGGGAAGGCUCAGCCUGUGCGCCAGCCUCAGAAGAAGCAAGACAGGACCACCCCCGCCUGCAUUCCUAGAAAAUAUCGGAAGCCACACAACCGUUCUCCACCUCCCCCCGCACCUGCCUGAGCCCUGACCGUGGCAGCACCAGCUUUGCCCGACUCCCAGGACCGGCCCCCCAGCGUGUUCUCCAUCCACCCUGCCCUGCCCAGCUCCCACCCCUACCUGCCACAAACCCGGCUCUCAUUCUGCCCCACCCUCCACGGCCUCCAGGGCAGAGUACACCGCGCAGCCCACAGCGUGGAUGCCCUGUGACAAAAGUACCAACAGGGGUGGGGGCCUCGCUCUGCCACCUGCCCUCUUGUGGAGCCCACUUAUGUCAGUUUCCUCAGAACCGGGAAGUGGCCCUCCCCAUGAGCAGGAACUCAGUAUAACAACAUAAUAAUGCAUAAGAAUAAAUAAAUAAAACU